UACAGAGGGUGCAAGCGUUAAUCGGAAUCACUGGGCGUAAAGAGCGCGUAGGUUGAUAAUUAAGUUGGAUGUGAAAGCCCCGGGCUCAACCUGGGAUGGUCAUUCAAGACUGGUUGUCUAGAGUAUGGUAGAGGGAAGUGGAAUUUCCGGUGUAGCGGUGAAAUGCGUAGAUAUCGGAAGGAACAUCAGUGGCGAAGGCGGCUUCCUGGACCAAUACUGACACUGAGGCGCGAAAGCGUGGGGAGCAAACAGG
rnacentral:rRNA from 1 species